UAGGGAAUCUUCGGCAAUGGACGAAAGUCUGACCGAGCAACGCCGCGUGAGUGAAGAAGGUUUUCGGAUCGUAAAACUCUGUUGUUAGAGAAGAACAAGGACGUUAGUAACUGAACGUCCCCUGACGGUAUCUAACCAGAAAGCCACGGCUAACUACGUGCCAGCAGCCGCGGUAAUACGUAGGUGGCAAGCGUUGUCCGGAUUUAUUGGUCGUAAAGCGAGCGCAGGCGGUUUCUUAAGUCUGAUGUGAAAGCCCCCGGCUCAACCGGAGAGGGUCAUUGGAAACGAGGAGACUUGAGUGCAGAAGAGGAGAGUGGAAUUCCAUGUGUAGCGGUGAAAUGCGUAGAUAUAUGGAGGAACACCAGUGGCGAAGGCGGCUCACUGGUCUGUGACUGACGCUGAGGCUCGAAAGCGUGGGGAGCAAACAGG
rnacentral:rRNA from 1 species